GACUAGAAUCGUGCAUCUGCCGUGCCUUUCAAUUUUGUAUUUCAGAUUAACUGCUCCUUUUCCUCCACGUUCUGAAGGCCUUCUAAGAAAUUUCCUUCCCAGUUCAUCUGAGAAGCCUUCAGACCUGAAAUAUACCAAAGGCUGCAAUGUAUGGGAGGUGGAUGGUGAGAUUUUCUUGUAGGGAACAAGGAAGAGAAGCAGAACAUGAGAAUAAUAAGUACAAGCCAUUCUGAGGAGCACCAGAGCCAGGCCUUCACCUGACUUCCCGUGGGGACGCUGCAGUCUCAUUCGCGCUGCGAUGGAAGCUGGCACCAAGGAGAGGGAUGCUAGUCCUGCCUCAUUGUUCACCACCAGGUGCGACUGAGCCGCUCACGCCUCCACUCUCACCCUCCCCUCCCUGGCCUGUUGCAGAGUGUGCUUUAAAGAGAGAGGUCCAGGAACUGAAACAAAGAAGUUUCCUUGUUUCUUCUUUAGGUUCUUCUGCCUGAUUUUAUCCUCGGCCCCUUUUGUCUCAUACCAUGUAUACUAAGACUAUAAGAAAUGAAAUGGGGGGGGGGGGCUUCCCUGGUGGCGCAGUGGUUGAGAAUCUGCCUGCCAAUGCAGGGGACACGGGUUCGAGCCCUGGUCUGGGAAGAUCCCACAUGCCGCGGAGCAACUGGGCCCGUGAGCCACAACUACUGAGCCUGCGCGACUGGAGCCUGUGCUCCGCAACAGGAGAGGCCGCGACAGUGAGAGGCCCGCGCAUCGCGAUGAAGAGUGGCCCCCGCUUGCCACAGCUAGAGAAAGCCCUCGCACAGAAACGAAGACCCAACACAGCCAAAAAUAAAUAAAUAAAUUAAUAAUAAUAAAAAAAAAAGAAAUGAAAUGCAAACCCUCUGGAACUAGAGUAUUUUAAGGGAGUAGACUCUCAAACCAAAAGCAGCCAUUUUAUUCAGGAAGCUUUUAACAUGCCUUUCUCUGACAAUGCUUUUACUUUUAUAUAAUUAAGAGAUUUAAAACCUGGAAAACGUGAAUGGUUUUUGCUCAUAUGUAUGCCCAUAUAUACACAGCACUCGCAAUGAAUGAUGUGUUAUUUUGUGCAACCAACCAAAAAGUAUUCCUUUGCAGUUUAAUCAUUUUCAUCUUUACUUGUUGCAAACCCUGGCCCAAGUUGUACACUGAAUGUUCGAAAGCGACUUUAUGCUACAAUUAUUUAAACUGAAAAGAAAGACUUUUCAAGUGGGAAUAAAAUUAUCUAGUUUCACAAACUGACACCUAUUCCACCA